GGUCCCCCAAAACACUGGAAUCACAGUAUUCUGAAAAGGAGGACAAAUAUGAAGAAGAAAUUAAACUUCUGUCUGACAAACUGAAAGAGGCUGAGACCCGUGCUGAAUUUGCAGAGAGAACGGUUGCAAAACUGGAAAAGACAAUUGAUGACCUGGAAGAGAAACUUGCCCAGGCCAAAGAAGAGAACGUGGGCUUACAUCAGACACUGGAUCAGACACUAAACGAACUUAACUGUAUAUAAGCAAAACAGAAGAGUCUUGUUCCAACAGAAACUCUGGAGCUCCGUGGGUCUUUCUCUUCUCUUGUAAGAAGUUCCUUUUGUUAUUGCCAUCUUCGCUUUGCUGGAAAUGUCAAGCAAAUUAUGAAUACAUGACCAAAUAUUUUGUAUCGGAGAAGCUUUGAGCACCAGUUAAAUCUCAUUCCUUCCUUUUUGUUUUCAAAUGGCACCAGCUUUUUCAGCUCUCUUAUUUUUUCCUUAAGUUGCAUUUAUUCCUAAGGUAGGCAGGGUAUUUCCUAGUAAGCAUACUUUUCUUAAGAUGGAGGCCAUUUGGUUCCUGGGAGAAUAGGCAGCCCCACACUUUGAAGAAUACAGACCCCAGUAUCUAGUCGUGGAUAUAAUUAAAACACUGAAGACAAUAACCUUUUGGGUCAAC
rnacentral:sRNA from 1 species